rnacentral:rRNA from 1 species
UACGUAGGGGGCGAGCGUUGUCCGGAGUUACUGGGCGUAAAGCGCACGCAGGCGGUCUGCUAAGUUUGGAGUGACAGUUGGUGGCUUAACUGCCAAAGUGCUUCGAAAACUGACAGACUUGAGGGCUUCAGAGGGACACGGAAUUCCGGGUGGAGUGGUGAAAUGCGUAGAGAUCCGGAGGAACACCAGUGGCGAAGGCGACUUACUGGACACAUAUUGACGCUGAGGUGCGAAAGCGUGGGGAGCAAACAGG